rnacentral:rRNA from 1 species
UACGAAGGGGGCUAGCGUUGUUCGGAAUUACUGGGCGUAAAGCGCGCGUAGGCGGUUUUCCAAGUCGGGCGUGAAAGCCCCGGGCUCAACCCGGGAAAUGCGCUCGAAACUUGAAGACUGGAGGCCGGAAGAGGGUAGUGGAAUUCCCAGUGUAGAGGUGAAAUUCGUAGAUAUUGGGAGGAACACCAGUGGCGAAGGCGGCCUUCUGGACCAAUACUGACGCUCAUGCACGAAAGCGUGGGGAGCAAACAGG